UACGGAGGGGGUUAGCGUUGUUCGGAAUGACUGGGCGUAAAGCGUGCGCAGGCGGUUUUUCAAGACAGAUGUGAAAUCCCCGGGCUUAACCUGGGAAUGGCAUUUGUGACUGGAAGGCUAGAGUGUGUCAGAGGGGGGUAGAAUUCCACGUGUAGCAGUGAAAUGCGUAGAGAUGUGGAGGAACACCGAUGGCGAAGGCAGCCCCCUGGGUCAAGAUUGACGCUCAUGCACGAAAGCGUGGGGAGCAAACAGG
rnacentral:rRNA from 1 species